AUUGAACGCUGGCGGCAGGCCUAACACAUGCAAGUCGAACGGUAACAGGAAACAGCUUGCUGUUUCGCUGACGAGUGGCGGACGGGUGAGUAAUGUCUGGGAAACUGCCUGAUGGAGGGGGAUAACUACUGGAAACGGUAGCUAAUACCGCAUAACGUCGCAAGACCAAAGAGGGGGACCUUCGGGCCUCUUGCCAUCGGAUGUGCCCAUAUGGGAUUAGCUAGUAGGUGGGGUAACGGCUCACCUAGGCGACGAUCCCUAGCUGGUCUGAGAGGAUGACCAGCCACACUGGAACUGAGACACGGUCCAGACUCCUACGGGAGGCAGCAGUGGGGAAUAUUGCACAAUGGGCGCAAGCCUGAUGCAGCCAUGCCGCGUGUAUGAAGAAGGCCUUCGGGUUGUAAAGUACUUUCAGCGGGGAUGAAGGGAGUAAAGUUAAUACCUUUGCUCAUUGACGUUACCCGCAGAAGAAGCACCGGCUAACUCCGUG
rnacentral:rRNA from 1 species